rnacentral:rRNA from 1 species
UGGGAAUAUUGCACAAUGGGGGAAACCCUGAUGCAGCGACGCCGCGUGGAGGAAGAAGGUCUUCGGAUUGUAAACUCCUGUUGUUGAGGAAAAGAGGAUGGUACUCAACAAGGAAGUGACGGCUAACUACGUGCCAGCAGCCGCGGUAAAACGUAGGUCACAAGCGUUGUCCGGAAUUACUGGGUGUAAAGGGAGCGCAGGCGGGUAUGCAAGUUGGGAGUGAAAUACAUGGGCUCAACCCAUGAACUGCUCUCAAAACUGUGUAUCUUGAGUAGUGCAGAGGUAGGCGGAAUUCCCGGUGUAGCGGUGGAAUGCGUAGAUAUCGGGAGGAACACCAGUGGCGAAGGCGGCCUACUGGGCACCGAACUGACGCUGAGGCUCGAAAGUGUGGGUAGCAAACAGGAUUAGAUACCCUAGU